AGGCUAAAAUCAUGCAGUGUCUGAGGUCAAAGAAUAAUGAGUUAUAUGCUGAGCCAUUAAGCACAUUGCAGAUCCAUAGGCAGGAAAGAGCAAGGGUCACAUGACCUGUGUUCUGCCUAGUGACAGAAGAGCAUAAAAGACUGCUGCUCCUGAGAGGAGAGGCUGUCCUUCCUUGUGGCAGCGCAGUACAUGUCCUAGCCAAGACUUCAAGGGAUCUACAGAAGACCACAGAAGAAGAUCCAAACCCCAUAGUUCCAGCUAACAGUUCUUGAUUGAUUCCUAUCUUACCUGUAUCCCGAACUCCUGUGUCCUCACCUUGCUGUCCUGAUGUAUUCCAUCUGUGAUGUCCUUUGUCAUGGGUCCAUUCCUCUGAAGCUGAAGAAUAAUAAAUCUGUUGAUGCACUGAAAAGGGAGUCAGUUGAUAGUUUGACCACGAGUCUCUCUGAGCCAUGCAAAAUCUCUGCAACCUGUGAGCAUGGCUAUGGAAAAAGAGCAUGAAACAUGUGGCUCUUGAAGAUAAAAGGUAGACUUGAUCUUUCCUCUCCUGCC